rnacentral:rRNA from 1 species
GAUGAACGCUGGCGGCGUGCCUAAUACAUGCAAGUCGAGCGAACGGACGAGAAGCUUGCUUCUCUGAUGUUAGCGGCGGACGGGUGAGUAACGCGUGUAUAACCUACCUAUAAGACUGGGAUAACUUCGGGAAACCGGAGCUAAUACCGGAUAAGAUUUUGAACCGCAGGGGUGAAAAGUGAGAGACGGUCUUGCUGGCACUUAUAGAUGGAUCCGCGCUGCAUUAGCUAGUUGGUAAGGUAACGGCUUACCAAGGCAACGAUGCAUAGCCGACCUGAGAGGGUGAUAGGCCACACUGGAACUGAGACACGGUCAAGACUCCUACGGGAGGCAGCAGUAGGGAAUCUUACGCAAUGGGCGAAAGCCUGACGGAGCAACGCCGAGUGAGUGAUGAAGGUCUUCGGAUCGUAAAACUCUGUUAUUAGGGAAGAACAUAUGUGUAAGUAACUGUGCACAUCUUGACGGUACCUAAUCAGAAAGCCACGGCUAACUACGUG